rnacentral:lncRNA from 1 species
GCUGUUACUCACAGCAACAUUCAUCUGUCUUCCUCUUCUGUUCCUCCAGGUUUGAUGAGAAGCCCACUGUACUGUGGGGAGAGGGAGUGGGAUGAAGUGUGUGGUUAUUGCAACUAACCACAGGGGAAAAUCCUUUUCCUGACACUGGUCUUUGAAGAUAUCGUAAAUCGUGGAGUGAGGCUUCACAGGUGGAUUUGUGCAGAGUGCCUGGCCUGAUGCGAGUUCAGACUCAAUGAAGGCUACUCAGUGGAGACCGACAGCUUCUGCGGAGAGCAAAGGUUCAUUUUAUUGGGUGGGAAAGAAGCGGAAGAUACGACAGAGAGAAAGAAU